rnacentral:rRNA from 1 species
UACGUAGGAUCCGAGCGUUGUCCGGAUUUACUGGGUGUAAAGGGUGCGCAGGCGGACUGGUAAGUCAGUGGUGAAAUCUCGUCGCUUAACGACGAAACUGCCUUUGAUACUAUCAGUCUUGAAUCCGGUAGAGAUCUGUGGAAUUCCGAGUGUAGCAGUGAAAUGUGUAGAUAUUCGGAAGAACACCAGUGGCGAAGGCAGCAGAUUGGGCCGGUAUUGACGCUGAGGUGCGAAAGCGUGGGGAGCAAACAGG